ensembl:lncRNA
UGAAGAGCAGCCCAUUGUUUUAUUUUCAUUGGGUUAAAAUGUGGAAGUAGAAAACAGGUAAACAACAGCAACUAAUAUAUUUUUAAUUGCUCAACUAAAAGCUAAGCAGAAAACAGUUUUCUCAAGUCAACGUUAUCACAGGCAUUUCCUUACAGAGAUCUUUAAUAUAAAGCCACCACACAAACUUUACUCACUCGACAUAAUGCCAAAACAGAAGAAGGUGUCAUGUAGAACAAAGCAACUCAAAAACAAAAAAACAUGAGCUAGAACCCCAGAUUCAGACCCCUCACUUUAAACACAUUUGCACAUCCUUUUAAUACUGUCUCACUGUAGCCAUGGAUGUUUAAUAAAAACAGUUCUAGGCCUACUUUUUCACAUUCCCUAUCAGUUUAGUCUAUGGCGCCCUCUAAAGGCUGUCUAAAUACUAGCAUUUUCAUGAGUAUUGCAGUAGUAGCCUAGCCUAGAAAUCUAGACGCCCCUAACGGCAGCAAAUUCAAUUUUUAGCCUUCUGUCGUCGUUUUUCGCUGCUGAAAACAGAAAAUGUGUCAGGCCAAUCAGAUCGUGAGGGGCGGUAUCCCGCCGAAUGACGACAGAGCUGCGACGGUUCCGUGUUAAGGUAAUCAAUAAUGGCUGCAGCUGCUGGCGAACAGCUGUCUUUCUACUCGGCUUUGGCCGCGACUCUUCAAGACUUGAAGUUAUCAUUUUCUUUGAGCAAUGAACAAAGAACUGCACUGAAGUCUUUCCUGGAAAAGAAAGAUGUAUUCGGAGUUUUGCCGACCGGAUACGGUAAAAGUUUCGUCGUUGGUCUCCAUUCUCUCUAUCCACCAAUCGCACUAUGAUCAGAGAAUGUCUAAUAUGAGACGGGCUCUGCUAUGAUCGCAACACUUCCCCAUGGAAAUUUCCGUCGCUCUGACUACGUCACCUUCUUCGUUGCUCUGAUUGGUUGUAGCGCUAUCCUAUUGCGUGCAGAGGGAACUUGGAAGACAACCGUUUAUCCCGCCCACACUGCCAGCGUUACGAGACCAGACCCAAUAUCUUUCCGAUAUGGGUCUGGCUUGCCAGGCUAGUAGUAGCCUCCUUCAUGGAUACAAUAAUGUACGUCCACAUCACCAGCCUCCUCACCACAUCUGGGAGAGGCCCUCACUGAGGAGUAGGUCACUGCAUCGCUGGAAUCGUC